rnacentral:rRNA from 1 species
UACGUAGGGGGCAAGCGUUGUCCGGAAUCACUGGGCGUAAAGCGCGCGCAGGCGGUCAUCUACGUCUGGGGUGAAAGCCCGGAGCUCAACUCCGGGAUUGCCUUGGAUACGGGAUGACUUGAGGAUCGGAGAGGCAAGGGGAAUUCCACGUGUAGCGGUGAAAUGCGCAGAUAUCAGGAAGAACACCCGUGGCGAAGGCGGCUCUCUGGUACGUGACUGACGCUGAGACGCGAAAGCGUGGGGAGCAAACAGG